UGACGUUACUCGCAGAAGAAGCACGGCUACUCGUGCAGCAGCGCGUAUACGAGGUUGCAAGCGUAAUCGGAAUUACUGGGCGUAAAGCGCACGCAGGCGGUCUGUCAAGUCGGAUGUGAAAUCCCCGGGCUCAACCCUGGGAAACUGCAUUCGAAACUGGCAGGCUAGAGUCUUGUAGAGGGGGGUAGAAUUCCAGGUGUAGCGGUGAAAUGCGUAGAGAUCUGGAGGAAUACCGGUGGCGAAGGCGGCCCCCUGGACAAAGACUGACGCUCAGGUGCGAAAGCGUGGGGAGCAAACAGGAUUAGAUACCCUGGUAGUCCACGCCGUAAACGAUGUCGACUUGGAGGUUGUGCCCUUGAGGCGUGGCUUCCGGAGCUAACGCGUUAAGUCGACCGCCUGGGGAGUACGGCCGCAAGGUUAAAACUCAAAUGAAUUGACGGGGGCCCGCACAAGCGGUGGAGCAUGUGGUUUAAUUCGAUGCAACGCGAAGAACCUUACCUACUCUUGACAUCCAGAGAACUUUCCAGAGAUGGAUUGGUGCCUUCGGGAACUCUGAGACAGGUGCUGCAUGGCUGUCGUCAGCUCGUGUUGUGAAAUGUUGGGUUAAGUCCCGCAACGAGCGCAACCCUUAUCCUUUGUUGCCAGCGGUUAGGCCGGGAACUCAAAGGAGACUGCCAGUGAUAAACUGGAGGAAGGUGGGGAUGACGUCAAGUCAUCAUGGCCCUUACGAGUAGGGCUACACACGUGCUACAAUGGCGCAUACAAAGAGAAGCGACCUCGCGAGAGCAAGCGGACCUCAUAAAGUGCGUCGUAGUCCGGAUUGGAGUCUGCAACUCGACUCCAUGAAGUCGGAAUCGCUAGUAAUCGUAGAUCAGAAUGCUACGGUGAAUACGUUCCCGGGCCUUGUACACACCGCCCGUCACACCAUGGGAGUGGGUUGCAAAAGAAGUAGGUAGCUUAACCUUCGGGAGGGCGCUUACCACUUUGUGAUUCAUGACUGGGGUGAAGUCGUAACAAGGUAACC
rnacentral:rRNA from 1 species